UUGCGGCCCGGUGCCUCGUGGUGCCGGGGCCACGCCUGUCUGAGGGUCGGUUA
rnacentral:rRNA from 1 species